CGCUCUGUGUCCUGGGACUUCUCGCUGCUGGGGCGGCCCCUGGACCUGCUGCCGGUUCCCCUAGUCCCGCUGCCACCUGGUCGUUGCCUGUUUUCCACCUUCCUCGCCCAGGUGAUGCUGUGGAGGUGCAACAAGGAGACAGAAAGGCUCAGCUGUGAGCCUCCAUGAGGAGCACCGACACCCACCAGGUGAGGAGCAUUGGCGGAUGCAGGAGCUGCAGGAGAUCGUGGGACAGGUCGCUGUGCCGGGAGUUCAGGAAAGCUGUGACGACCAGCACUGCCCUGGGAGCUGCUGCUGCCGGUGACGGUCUCAACCUGCGCCCAGUCAGCGUCGGCGCUGGAGCUGCGCUUCCUGGUGAGCCGGGGGACGUUUUCCCCCGGUGCCUUCUCCCUGAGGAGCCUGGGGGCUUGUGUCCCUGGUGAGUAACAGCUCCAGCCUCGCUGCCUGUCUCUGUGUCCUGGCCAGGGGCUGCCGACACCGCGCGACGGCCUCGCGCCUCCUUUCUGCGCUCCGCAGCGAAGCCGGGAGCACCACGAGGUUUGUUUCCUCCCGGACAGGAGCCGCCCGGCUCCCUGCUCGCAGCAGGACGAUGCCUCCGCUCGCCUCCCUCCCGCCCUGCGCGGGGCCCCGCUCCUGGCUGGGGACGACCUGCCUGCGCCCGCCUGGCUCUGGGCCUCCUUGGGAGCCUGCUGGGAGCACAGCGGGGGCUCCUCGCAGCUCAGCUCCGGCUCCUUAGGGCUCGGCCUCAUGACAGCAGUGGUGGUGACUGACAAGGUCGUAAAUCAAUCACUGUCACAGCUUGCAUAUUAAUAUCAUAGUUCAGUAUUCCAUACAUACUGCACAGUUAGUUUAUUAACAGUGUACAUACUCCAUGCACACAUUGAAUAAAGAGUCCAAGUCUUGUACAAAUGGGGAAUAAACAGGGGAACUGGAA